rnacentral:rRNA from 1 species
UACGUAGGGAGCAAGCGUUGUUCGGAUUUACUGGGCGUAAAGGGCGCGUAGGCGGCGCGGUAAGUCACUUGUGAAAUCUCUGAGCUUAACUCAGAACGGCCAAGUGAUACUGCAGUGCUAGAGUGCAGAAGGGGCAAUCGGAAUUCUUGGUGUAGCGGUGAAAUGCGUAGAUAUCAAGAGGAACACCUGAGGUGAAGACGGGUUGCUAGGCUGACACUGACGCUGAGGCGCGAAAGCGUGGGGAGCGAACAGG